GUGUAUGUAUGUACCUGUAAUGCACAUUAAAUUAGACUAAUGUGCAUUAACAUGUCUUGUGUAGACACACCCUUAUGGAAAGGAUCUGGGAAUCCCAUGUUUUAGAGCUCUUGCUGGUUUCCAGUUAGCCAUUUUUUUCCACCUCAUGAAUGUCACUGGAUUUUAUGUUGUUGUCCAUGGGGCACGGGAUAGGGUCAAGGUCCCCGUCAACCUUGCGCCUGGCGGGCCUGUGCCAUGAGGGAAAAGCCUCAUUAUUCCUGCAGAAUCAGCCAGCAGCAAUUGCCCGGUUCUUGCCUGCUACAUCUUGAUGUAAUUUGUAGAUAAUCAGAAGGUGUUCUCCUACUGAAAGUCUGCUACAAGGACAUUAGGUCUGUCCCUCCUAGGGCUUCAACCUCCCCUUAUAUCCCAGUCAAAUGCCAACCAGCUGUUAUGAUAUUGUGGGAGACUACCAGUUGUUAACAGAUGUUCUACAAUUUUUCUGUUCUUUCUUUUUUUCCUAGGCUCAGGAUCUCUUUCUGUGUUCCUUCUGGAUGGAGAGGUCAGGGUUGAUCCAGGAGAAUAUCAGGAAAAUAUCACCACUGGAGCAAAAAGGGAACUGCAACCAUCACUGGGCAGGACAGCCCAGUGCAGUUCCUCCACCAGAAGUAGGGCAUCGGGUACAGGGAAUGCCAAUCUGGAAGGACCAGUGACGAUGGCAUUCCAGCAGCUGUGGCGUUCCCCGCAUAAGCAAUGCUUCCUCCUGGUCUGAUCAGAAGACAAAGGAAUAAAGAGUUCUGGAGAAAUCCUCACAUACUAUGGCCUCUGGAACUGUCCACUGAUCUUCCCAUUUGCUUAAAUAAUUGCAAAAUAGAUUUUUUUCAACAAUAUAUGAGUAUUUAUAUAUUAUUCAGUUGUAAACUGUAAUGACUGACUUGUUUAGAAGAUUUAAAGACAGAUAUUUGUCAGAUGUGCAGUGUUCACCAUUAUCUCUCAAAAAUGGACUGGAAAUAGAACUAAAAACCCUUCACCUCUGGGUCGCUAGCCAAUAUAACUCAGGUUUGAAAAGAAUAAAUAUAAUGACCUUUUGGUGACUUCCACAAAAUGAAUUAUAUGGCUCAGUCUAAUUCUUUACAAGCAAAUAUUCCCAGAAAAAGAUUGCUGACAGGAAUGGUACUUGAUGUAAUGACUUGUCUGAAAGAUCACUCAGUGAUAAACCAUGAAACACACUUCAGGUCAGAGAUGAGGGACAUUACUGAGGAAGGCACACCAAUAUAUUUGUUCUGCUGAUGCAAGAUUUAAGUUUCGAUGGUUGUCAAUCAUAAGAACUACACUGACAAAUAAAAAUGAACACAAGCUCUAAUUAAAGUAGAAAAUAUUUCUAAUGCAAAAUCACAAUAAGUAAUAACUUUAAAUCUAAACAGAAAAUCCAAAUCAUUUAAACAUUAAAUCAUGAGUGAAGAUAUCUAGUCAUACUGUAAACACCCAAAAGCUACCUUUCCUGGACAAUAAACAAGGCAGGGUUUUUUAAAUUGCGUUUAGUCAUCUUGUAUGCGUAGUUCAAGAUUAAUGUAUUAAUAUAGUAUUGCUUCUUCUAAAAUAACUCAGUGUUCUAGUUAUAAUGCAUUAUUAGUGUCCAUAACCUCUUCACAAAUGAAUUUUUCAUUUACUGACCAACUGCUAUUGUUCACAGACAGAAAAAAUACACCUUGAGAUAAAAUGAAUUCUCGAAACUGAAAAAAUGAACAUUUUGCUUUUUAACUGCAUAGACUGUAUAUGUGGAAUCCAAUUAUAAAUGUAUUUAUUUUCAAAGAAAAUCUAUUAGAAUCAGUAGAGGACAGAUCUGUCUUGGUAACAGUUAUUUCUAGUUCUUUUCAUGGAGGCAAAGUAGAUGAUAGACUGAUGUUCUCAGGCACAUCUACACGAGACGUUUACUGCACAGUUAACUAAUUAAUUGUGUAGUAAACAUCUUAGUGUCUGCAAGUGUGCCCCUAGUAGUACACAGGAAGCUAAUAAAUGCUGCAGCAGGGUAGUACUUGUAAA